CAGGAGAUAGUUUAAUACAAAAUCUUGGCUUUGGGAGCCAAGGAUGGGAGUUUGAUUCUCUUUUUCCUGA
rnacentral:tRNA from 1 species